rnacentral:rRNA from 1 species
CAAUGAGGGUGAGAAUCCUGUUUGUCAUGUGCAGCCCUUUGUGCACGGUGUAUAUUUGCUGAGUCACACUCCUUGGCAUUGGAAUGCAAAGUGGGUGGUAAGUUUCAUGUAAAGGUAAACAUGCAAUUGAGACUGAUAGCACACAAGUACCAUGAGGGAAAUAUGAAAAGGACUUUGAAAAGAGAAUUAAAUGAGUUUGUAUUUGCUGAACACAAAGUAAACAGACUUGAUUUGCUUGGUGGGAGUGUUGCACUUGCUUGACAAGAGCUUUGGGCUGUGGGUGUAAUGAUUCUUUCUUUGCAUGCCAGUUUCUAUUUGUACAUCUGAUUACCUUUGCACAUGAAUGAUAAGUCUCCUGUGGGGGGUGGAUUGCAUGUGCAUGUAAUGAUUUGUGUUUUGAUAAAUGUGUCUGGUGUAUGUGUGUGUUCCUGUGCUUGGGGAUGCUUCCUUCCUUGGACUUACAAGCCCUGACACACACAUGCUGGCAAAAUGCUUCUGCUUGACCCGUCUUGAAACACGGACCAAGGAGUCUAACAGAUGUGCAAAGUUUGAAGGUGGUAUACCUUUGUGUGCAAUGAAAGUGUCAGCUGGGAUAUGUGCACCAGCACCCAAUUAAUUAGCGGACAGAGGUUUGAGUUGGAGCAUAUCUAUUAGGACCCGAAAGAUGGUGAACUAUGCCUGAACAGAAUGAAUUCAGAGGAAACUCUGAUGGAGGUUCGUAUCGAUACUGACGUGCAAAUCGUUCGUCAUAUUUGGGUAUAGGGGCGAAAGACUAAUCGAACCAUCUAGUAGCUGGUUCCCUCCGAAGUUUCCCUCAGGAUAGCUGGAGUUGCUCAGUUUUAUCAGGUAAAGCGAAUGAUUAGAGGAAUUGGGGACAGGUUUGUCUUUGACCUAUUCUCAAACUUUAAAUGGGUAAUAUGUAGUGGUUGCUGUAUGGAACUUCUAAGAUAAAUGGCAAUAUUGGGUGGGCCAUUUUUGGUAAGCAGAACUGGCGAUGAGGGAUGAACCUAAUGUGGGGCUAAGGUGCUUAAUUA